rnacentral:rRNA from 1 species
AUUGAACGUCUGGCGGCAUGCUUUACACAUGCAAGUCGAACGGUAACAGGUCUUCGGAUGCUGACGAGUGGCGAACGGGUGAGUAAUACAUCGGAACGUGCCUAGUAGUGGGGGAUAACUACUCGAAAGAGUAGCUAAUACCGCAUGAGAUCUACGGAUGAAAGCAGGGGACCUUCGGGCCUUGUGCUACUAGAGCGGCUGAUGGCAGAUUAGGUAGUUGGUGGGGUAAAAGCUUACCAAGCCUGCGAUCUGUAGCUGGUCUGAGAGGACGACCAGCCACACUGGGACUGAGACACGGCCCAG